GGCGAGGUGGCGAGUGGUUAAAGGCGAUGGACUGCUAAUCCAUUGUGCUCUGCUGCGGCGUGGGUUCGAAUCCCAUCCUCGUCG
rnacentral:tRNA from 1 species